UUUUUUUUUUUUUUUUUUUUUGUCUUUUCUAGGGCUGUACCCAUGGCAUACGGAGGUUCCCAGGAUAGGGAUCUAAUCAGAGUUGUUGCUUCCGGCCUAUACCAGAGAUACAGCAAUGCCAGAUCUGAGCUGCAUCUGCGACCUACACCACAGCUCACAGCAAUGCCGGAUCCUUAACCCACUGAGCGAGGCCAGGGAUUGAACCUGAAACCUCAUGGUUCCUAGUUGGAUUCGUUUCUGCUGUGCCAUAACAGGAACUCCUAAAAGCUGUCUUUGACUCAUUCCUUUCCAUGGUUGCUCACAUGGAGAUCAACAGCAAGUUAGUAAACAUCAAGACAGCAGAUUUUUCUCCAUGUCAGCUGCUACCACCCUAGUCCAGGAUUCCACCUGCAGUGACUGAAGGGUGCUCCCUCCCUGGAACCUGUGACUGUGAUCUUAUUUGUCUUUGCAGGUGUAAUUAAACUGAGGAUCUUGAGAUGAGGGGGUAAUUUGGGAUGGAAGUGGACCCUAAAUUAAAUGACAACUCUUCUUAUAAGAGACAGAAGAGGAGAAGGCACAGAGACAUGGGGAGAUGGUCACAUGAUGACAGAGGUAGAGACGGGAGUGAAGUACCACAAGGGAAGGGAUGCCUGGAGUGCCAGAAACCGGAAGAAGCAGGAAGGAUCCUUCCCUCCCUGCUUAUUCCAGAGGGAGCACAGCCUUGCCGACACCCUGACCUCUAGUCUCCAGAACUGGGAGGAAAAAACAUUUCUUGUUUUAGCCUCCCUACCCCCAUCCUAGGUUGCGAUAGUUGGUUACAGAAGCCACAGGAAACUCAUAAACAUCAUUUCAUACCUGAACUACUUUAGUUGACUCCAUACUGAUCUCCCAAUGGCCACACUUGGAAUCCACCACAUCAACAGGCAGGGAAAAAAGAAGAAGGAGGAGGAGAAAAAUCAUGUAAUCAUCUCUGCUGGUGCAGAAAAAGUAUAAAAAAUGCAUUUGAUAGCUAACAAUAUGAUUAAUGGUGAAGGACCAAAUGCUUUCCCUCUAAGAUCAGGAACAAGGAAAGGAUGUCUGUCUAACCACUCAUUCAGUGAAGUGUUGGAAGUUCUAACUGGUGCAAUAAGCCAUAAAGAAAAGAGAGAGAGAGGAGGCAGUGGAAGGAAGGAAAAGAAAGAGAGAAAAGAAAAGAAAUGGAGAAGGGGGAGGGAAGGGAAGGAAAAAAGAUGAAUGAAGCAUAUAGAUUGAAACAGAAAAAAAAAAACUAUUUGCAGAUGAAAUUAUUGUUUACACAGAAAAUCCCAAGAAAUCUAUGAAACAAUUAACUAAAACUGAUAACUAAGUUCAAUAAAAUCUCGAUACAACAUAAACACACAAAAAAAUUGCAUUUCUGUAUAUAAGCAGUGAGCAUGUGAAAAAAGUAAAAACAAUGCCAUGGGAGUUCCCACUGUGGCAAGCAGGUCAAGGAUCCUGAGUUGUCCCUGUGGUGGCUCAGGUUCGAUCCCCAACCCAGUGCAGUGGGUUAAGUUCCAUCGUUGCCAUAGCUGUGGCAUAGUUUGCAGUUCUGACUCAGAUUCAAUUCCUGACGUGACAUGAGGACUUCCAUAUGCCGUGAGUGUGGCCAAAAAAAAAAAGCAAACGAACAAGCAAAGAAGCAAAAACACACAAUACCAUGUAAAAUCACUCCAAAGAAAACGAAACAUAUAAAUCUAACAAAACAUGGACAGGACUUGCUGCUGAAGUACAUAAUGAUGCUGAAAGAAAGAAAAAAGGAUCUAAAUAAAUAGGGGACCAUACAGUGUUUGUGCCUUGGAAGACAUAAUGUAGCAAAUAUUCUAAUUCUCCCCAAAUUGAUGGAUAGGAUAGGAGGAUGCAGACACAGGUUAAGUAAAUGUGAGGCAUCUGGUCACUAAAUAUUUGUGAUCAUUAAGUAUACAAGAGGCAUUAAAUAUCCUUGAUCACUACACAAAAGCCUCAAAAUUUUCAUGAUCGUAAAUGCAUGAGGGACAUUAAAUAUUCAGGAUCACUAAGUAUGUAGUAGGUACUAAGCAUUCAGAACCCCUGAGGCACUCAGUUUUCAUAAAUCUUAAGCAGUCACUGCUGGGACUCUCAACAGAAGAGCAUUUCCCUGUGUGGCUGCACCUGUACACCUUUGCUCAGGGCCCCUGGUGUCACUUGGACAAUAAGUGAGGAGGCAAGGUGGCAGGGAACUACAAGACACACACAUGUCCAUGUGUGCCCAGGACCAGGUGAUGCAGCUUUCCUCCUCACUGAAGCCUGUCCCAAGUUUGUCAGCUCACCCCUUCUCUUCUCCCUUACUUCUUGUGGCCUGUUUUAAAUCAAUUUAAUCAAUGGUGUAGUUUGAGUCUUCUCAUGUGGUCUGUGAGCCUUUCCACAACAUAGUAGUGAACUUGGAAGGCAGGUUUGCCCCUAAUGUUUCCAGCUGAGAGCUGCAGGACACCACUCAGGCAGGUGACCCAGACAGGAUACUUUCCAUGGAACAGCUCUGUUUCUUCCCCUCACCAAUGGGCACUGGGAAUGACUUUCAAGCUGAACUCCUAGAGGGCGGGAGAAACUGUAGCCAACCAAGGACAUGUCCAAGAAUUCCAAGGACACUUGCACAUUUGGAAUGGCACAGCCCAGCCAGCACCACAGCUGUGCUGUACACAGGGCUCCUUGAGUCUGAUAAUGAGUGAACAUGAACGCUGUGUGUAAAAUCCCCAUCACCCUCCUAUUUAUAACCCCCCCCCCAAAUGUCACAUGAGUGGUCUGAGAGAACUUUGCAGAGGUGCAGGGCCUCAAAGCCCUUGAAGGUGGUCACUUCUAGCAGGCCCAAUAGUGCCUGCUGCUUCUUGCUCUCCAAGUAACAGCCCCAAUCUUUCCGUGCACAGCAGGAGUCCCUCUUCCAUUUACCUGAACCAGGCUUCCUUACCCGCCCUGGCUCCUCCUACCCUUUGUUUGUCUCUGUCCCUCCAAACCAGGGGUCCCACUGUCCCCAGAGCUGCAACCCAGCCCACCGCAUCCCAUCCCCACUCCGAAGACCUUCAAGUUUCCGCUCACGUCCUCAUGGUCCUGGGCAACAUGCCCCAAACCAAUGGUGCUCUAUUUCCGCCUAGUGUGUAAACCUCUACGGCUCUAUCUUCCGUUUACUGGUCAUAACCUCCACUAGAUGUAAGCUCCAUGAAGGCACUUUUCUCCCAAGUGCUCAGAGCUCUACAGGGCACACACAAUAGGUACCAAGUGAAUAUAUGAUGAAUAAAAGGAAAAAGGAAAACCAAAGGAAUGCUUCUCCCUCUAGUCAGUGGAAGCAGAUGAUGAAAUUGAACUUCGAAGGCUACACAGCCAGAGUGGGGAGGAAGUGCGCCACGCCACCGCUGGGCGCCGCCCGCUCCCUCACUGGAUCCUUUUCCGUAACAGUUCUUGAGCCGGACUCCAGGUUCGGUUGACAGGAUAUUAACCCUGAAAAGAAAAUUAGGGAACCAAGGAUGAGGGAUACCUCCCGCAGAGACUCUGAAGGCGCAGCCUCUUCAGAGACCGGCCCAGGAGAGAGCUGUUUUUGUUGCAACAUAAAAAGGGCCAAGGGCUUAAUGUUACUGAGAGCUCAGGUCGCCAUUUCCCGCUACCUCCCCAGGAUGCCGCGCGUUAGCUCGUGGUCCUUGGGCGUGACUGGGACGCGCUGGGCGGGGUGGUACACACGCGUAGUGACUGCAGAGACCCUCCCAUGGUGCCGACCCAGCGAGGCUUGGUCUUUGGGUCCUAGGUGGCGGGACGCUGUGUGCGCUGGGGGGGUAGCGAGUGAGAGGGAGGCUCAGCAGUCCUUGGUGGGUGGUGGGUUCUGAGGAGGAUCCUUGGGGACUCAGGGGCGCAUGGGCUCAAGAGUGCAGAGUUAUGGGAUGCAGGACUGUGGGAAUACAGGGGGCGCCAGGAUAGAGAGGCGCAGAAUUGCAGAGAUACCGAAGUGAGUAAGUGGGGGAUACAGGACCUUGAGGGAAUGUGGCUGUUCAGGGGGCGGGAGUAUAUGAGCAGGAGGAAUGCAGGGAUGUAGGGGCUAGGGGUUGGGAGGGUACGGAGGAGGGGAUUUAGGGGCUCGGGGAUGGAGGCGUAAGGGCUACAGGGCCAGAGAUGCAGGGGUGCAAGUGUCGGGGUGGGGGCGGGUGUGGAGAUAACAGCGGUGUGGACAGCGUAGAGCGCAAGCGAAGGUCGCAGGUUUGGAGGCUCUGGCUCCAGUGGGCUGUGGUCUAGGCUCGCUGCGUAAAACAAAGCCGUUGUUGUUGCUUGGACUUGGGAACGUUUCCUGGUUGUUCAAUUCAAAGGCUGUCGGCCUGACCGCAUUGGUCACGCAUCCGCCUUCUUGGCCUCCCGCUGCGGCCACUGUCUUGAGCCCGGUGAACUCCGCCUUGCUGCUCCUUCCCCGGCUCAGAAUCUUGGAAGUUCUCCAGGUUUUGCACACUUGGUGUCAUCGAUUUCUCACAGGGUAACCCAUUCCCUAUACAUAAAUGCUAUGGCGUAUUCUUCCUGAAAGGGAAGCCUUUUCUCCUCUGUAUGAUGACGGUUUGGUUGUCACCGUUGUUCCUGUGCGCUCGGGAAUGGAACACCCCAAAUACCCUACUUAGCAACACCAGCAAAACGUGCUCUCCCCUGGCUCUCUCCAAGUGCAUUUAUCUCCGCCUCCUCUCUGCCUGGCAUCUCCUCGAUCUCUCUUCUGCGCUAUGUCUCAUUUUUGUUCGUUCUUUCCCGCUUAAAGGAAUACACACACUUCCACAUCUGAACGUUAGAAGCAGACAUAGGCUUAAGACCAAAUACCCAUAUAUGUCAAAGGCUUGCUUUCUAUUUUACUGAAAUCUGUAAAAAUGCAACACAGAAUUAUUUACAUCUUUAAUUGUCCUGUUUGUUAUUGUAUACGUUAACUUUUCUUUUUUUAUAAACACAUUCUAAUUAACCAUUAUGACUGUUACAUGAUUCUCAAAUUCUUAAAUUUGGCCGAAAGGAGACCCUUCAAAAUAAAAUGGCUCUUUUCUCCUUUAAGCACAGCCCUGAGAUGGUUGAAAGCAUUCUUACUUUCUGACAGCAACAAGUUACUUCAGCUCCAUCAAGGAAUUUUGAUUUGUUUUUUGUUUUGUUUUGUUUUGUGUGAUGUUGUGACUUAUAAUACGAAGUUACAUAGUUGGUCUUAUUCCUGGCACAGAACUCCUAAACGCUUAGAAUUUCCUGUGAUGAGCACCAUAAAUGUGUCUUUGGUUACACUAAUGAGGUGACUUUUGGAAAGUCCUUGAAGUUGGAUGCUGAUUACCAGGAGAAAAAAGCAAGUAAUUAGAAUGUUGGAAUUUUUAGUUCCCCUCACCCACCCCCGGGGAGGGGAGAGGUGCUGGAGGUUAACACAAUUUCCAAUGGCCGAAUUAGUCAAUCAUGCCUAAUAAUGGAACCUCCAUAAAAACGGAAGAGGAUGAGUUCAGAGAGCUUCCAGGUUGGUAAGAGUGGCAUGCCCAGAGAGCACAUGGAAGCUCUGUGACUCUUCCCCAUACCUUGUUGCCCUGUGCACCUCUUCCAUCUGGCUGUUGCUGAACUAUAUCCUUUAAUAAUAAACCAGCAGUCUAAUAAGGAAGGUGUUAUCACUGAGUUCUGUGAGCCUCUCUUACAAGUUAAUCAAACACAAGGUACAUUGGAACCUCUGAUCUAUAGCCAGUCAGUCAAAAGCACAGGUGACAUCCUGGACUUGUGACUGGCUUCUGAAGUGAAGGCAGUGAUGAAACAAAAUUAUUUUAGGACAGGAAAAGAAAGAUUUAACAUAAAAAACCUGCCAGUGUACUACCUUGAUAUAUAACACUUUGGUGUAUAACGCUUUGCCUCAAAAAUUUAUGUAAUUGUGCUUUGACCUCUAAUGGAUGGAGCAGUCCUCAAAGCUUUCUAAGAGACUGUCUGCUGGGUUAUAAUCCUCAAGUUGGUUCAAAUAAAAUUUUCUAUUUCUUUCUUAGAUUUGACUAUCGGUUAAUUUUUUAAAUUAAUUGUGGGACUUUUAUUAAUUUUUUAAUUAAUUUAGUCUUGUAGGACUGAGCCCUUAACCUGUGGAGUCUGACAUUAUCUCCAGGUACAUGGUGUCAAAAUUGAAUUAAAUCUGUGGGACACUCAGUGUCUACUAAGAACUGGAGAAUUGCAUGGAAACCUUGACAAACACACAUCAGAUUUUGGUUUUUGAAGACAUGGAUUCAUCUGGCGUUCCUGCUGUGGUGCAGUGGAUUAAAACUCUGACUGCAAUAGCUGGGGCCACUGUGGAGGUGGGGAUUUGAUCCCUGGCCUGGCACAGUGGAUUAAAAAAUCUGCAGCUGCAACUUGGAUUCAAGCCCUGGCCUGGAACUUCCAUAUGCCCUAGGUGGCGCCAUUAAAAAAUAAAAAUUUUUUUAAAAA
rnacentral:lncRNA from 1 species